GUGUCCGCCUCAGAGGCACAUAUACUACAAUUUACGGGAUACAGAGAAGAUUAACAUGGCCUCCGCGCAAGGAUGAUGGUGCAAAUUUGUGAAGCGUUCCGUAGUUUC